rnacentral:rRNA from 1 species
AUUGAACGCUGGCGGCAGGCCUAACACAUGCAAGUCGAGCGGAUGAAGGGAGCUUGCUCCUGGAUUCAGCGGCGGACGGGUGAGUAAUGCCUAGGAAUCUGCCUGGUAGUGGGGGAUAACGUCCGGAAACGGGCGCUAAUACCGCAUACGUCCUGAGGGAGAAAGUGGGGGAUCUUCGGACCUCACGCUAUCAGAUGAGCCUAGGUAGGAUCAGCUAGUUGGUGGGGUAAAGGCCUACCAAGGCGACGAUCCGUAACUGGUCUGAGAGGAUGAUCAGUCACACUGGAACUGAGACACGGUCCAGACUCCUACGGGAGGCAGCAGUGGGGAAUAUUGGACAAUGGGCGAAAGCCUGAUCCAGCCAUGCCGCGUGUGUGAAGAAGGUCUUCGGAUUGUAAAGCACUUUAAGUUGGGAGGAAGGGCAGUAAGUUAAUACCUUGCUGUUUUGACGUUACCAACAGAAUAAGCACCGGCUAACUUCGUG